rnacentral:rRNA from 1 species
ACCUACCCUAUGGACGGGGAUAACCUCGGGAAACUGAGAAUAAUACCCGAUAGAACAUUAUUCCUGGAAUGGUUUAUGUUUCAAAUAAUUUAUUGCCGUAGGAUGGGACUGCGGCCUAUCAGUUUGUUGGUGAGGUAAUGGCCCACCAAGACUAUUACAGGUACGGGCUCUGAGAGGAGUAGCCCGGAGAUGGGUACUGAGACACGGACCCAGGCCCUAUGGGGCGCAGCAGGCGAGAAAACUUUGCAAUGUGCGAAAGCACGACAAGGUUAAUCCGAGUGGUUUCUGCUAAAGGAACCUUUUGUCAGUCCUAGAAACACUGAUGAAUAAGGGGUGGGCAAGUUCUGGUGUCAGCCGCCGCGGUAAAACCAGCACCUCAAGUGGUCAGGAUGAUUAUUGGGCCUAAAGCAUCCGUAGCCUGCUUUGUUAGUUUUCGGUUAAAUCCAUACGCUCAACGUAUGGGCUGCCGGGAAUACUGCAAAGCUAGGGAGUGGGAGAGGUAGACGGUACUCGGUAGGAAGGGGUAAAAUCCUUUGAUCUAUUGAUGACCACCUGUGGCGAAGGCGGUCUACCAGAACACGUCCGACGGUGAGGGAUGAAAGCUGGGGGAGCAAACCGGAUUAGAUACCCGGGUAGUCCCAGCUGUAAACAAUGCAAACUCGGUGAUGCAUUGGCUUGAUGCCAAUGCAGUGCCGCAGGGAAGCCGUUAAGUUUGCCGCCUGGGAAGUACGUACGCAAGUAUGAAACUUA